rnacentral:tRNA from 1 species
GAGGGUAUAGCUCAGUGGUAGAGUGAAUGCUUGUCAUGCACAAGGUCCUGGGUUCAAUCUCCAGUACUUCCA